UCCUGACUGACCGAUAGUGAACCAGUACCGUGAGGGAAAGGCGAAAAGAACCCCGGCGAGGGGAGUGAAAAAGAACCUGAAACCGUGUACGUACAAGCAGUGGGAGCACGCUUAGGCGUGUGACUGCGUACCUUUUGUAUAAUGGGUCAGCGACUUAUAUUCUGUAGCAAGGUUAACCGAAUAGGGGAGCCGAAGGGAAACCGAGUCUUAACUGGGCGUUAAGUUGCAGGGUAUAGACCCGAAACCCGGUGAUCUAGCCAUGGGCAGGUUGAAGGUUGGGUAACACUAACUGGAGGACCGAACCGACUAAUGUUGAAAAAUUAGCGGAUGACUUGUGGCUGGGGGUGAAAGGCCAAUCAAACCGGGAGAUAGCUGGUUCUCCCCGAAAGCUAUUUAGGUAGCGCCUCGUGAAUUCAUCUCCGGGGGUAGAGCACUGUUUCGGCAAGGGGGUCAUCCCGACUUACCAACCCGAUGCAAACUGCGAAUACC
rnacentral:rRNA from 1 species